rnacentral:rRNA from 1 species
GGGUUGUGAGGUUAAGCGACUAAGCGUACACGGUGGAUGCCCUGGCAGUCAGAGGCGAUGAAGGACGUGCUAAUCUGCGAUAAGCGUCGGUAAGGUGAUAUGAACCGUUAUAACCGGCGAUUUCCGAAUGGGGAAACCCAGUGUGUUUCGACACACUAUCAUUAACUGAAUCCAUAGGUUAAUGAGGCGAACCGGGGGAACUGAAACAUCUAAGUACCCCGAGGAAAAGAAAUCAACCGAGAUUCCCCCAGUAGCGGCGAGCGAACGGGGAGCAGCCCAGAGCCUGAAUCAGUGUGUGUGUUAGUGGAAGCGUCUGGAAAGGCGCGCGAUACAGGGUGACAGCCCCGUACACAAAAAUGCACAUACUGUGAGCUCGAUGAGUAGGGCGGGACACGUGGUAUCCUGUCUGAAUAUGGGGGGACCAUCCUCCAAGGCUAAAUACUCCUGACUGACCGAUAGUGAACCAGUACCGUGAGGGAAAGGCGAAAA